rnacentral:rRNA from 1 species
UACGGAGGGUGCGAGCGUUGUCCGGAAUCACUGGGCGUAAAGGGCGCGUAGGUGGCGGUCCAAGUCAACGGUGAAAGCUCGGGGCUCAACCCCGAGUCGGCCGUCGAUACUGGGUUGCUUGAGCACUGUAGAGGCAGAUGGAAUUCCGGGUGUAGCGGUGGAAUGCGUAGAGAUCCGGAAGAACACCGGUGGCGAAGGCGGCUGACUGGUCCGGUUCUGACGCUGAGGCGCGAAAGCGUGGGGAGCAAACAGG